AAUGAACGCUAGCGGCGGGCUUAACACAUGCAAGUCGAGCGAGCGGCGGACGGGUGAGUAAUGUCUGGGAAACUGCUUGACGCAGGGGGAUAACGACUGGAAACGGUAGCUAAUACCGCAUAACAUCAGAUGUGCCCAGAUGGGAUUAGCUAGUAGGUGGGGUAAUGGCUCACCUAGGCGAAGAUCCCUAGCUGGUCUGCGAGGAUGACCGGCAACACUGGAAUUGAGAAACGGUCCAGACGCCUACGGGAGGCAGCAGUGGGGAAUAUUGGGCAAUGGGCGCAAGCCUGAUGCAGCCAUGCCGCGUGUGUGAAGAAGGCCUUCGGGUUGUAAAGCACUGUCAGCGAGGAGGCGUUACUCGCACAAGAAGCAACGGCUAACUCCGUGCCAGCAGCCGCGGUAAUAC
rnacentral:rRNA from 1 species